rnacentral:rRNA from 1 species
GGUGAACGCUGGCGGCGUGCUUAAGACAUGCAAGUCGAACGGGCUCUUCGGAGCCAGUGGCGCACGGGUGAGUAACGCGUAACUGACCUACCCCAAAGUCGCGGAUAACGAUUCGAAAGAAUCGCUAAUACGUGAUGUGCUGUCAGAUCCUGUUCUGCCAGUAAAGAUUUAUUGCUUUGGGAUGGGGUUGCGUUCCAUCAGCUAGUUGGUGGGGUAAAGGCCCACUAAGGCGACGACGGAUCGCCGGCCUGAGAGGGUGGCCGGCCACAGGGGCACUGAGACACGGGUCCCACUCCUACGGGAGGCAGCAGUUAGGAAUCUUCCACAAUGGGCGAAAGCCUGAUGGAGCGACGCCGCGUGAGGGAUGAAGGUCUUCGGAUCGUAAACCUCUGAAUCAGGGACGAAAGACGCGAAAGCGGGAUGACGGUACCUGAGUAAUAGCACCGGCUAACUCCGUG